rnacentral:rRNA from 1 species
UACGGGGGGGGCAAGCGUUGUUCGGAAUUACUGGGCGUAAAGGGCGCGUAGGCGGCCUACUAAGUCGGACGUGAAAUCCCUCGGCUCAACCGAGGAACUGCGUCCGAUACUGGUGGGCUUGAAUCCGGGAGAGGGAUGUGGAAUUCCAGGUGUAGCGGUGAAAUGCGUAGAUAUCUGGAGGAACACCGGUGGCGAAGGCGGCAUCCUGGACCGGUAUUGACGCUGAUGCGCGAAAGCCAGGGAGCAAACGGG